UACGGGGGGAGCAAGCGUUGUUCGGAUUUACUGGGCGUAAAGGGCGCGUAGGCGGUCAGCACAAGUCAGUUGUGAAAUCUCCGAGCUUAACUCGGAAAGGUCAACUGAUACUGUGCGACUAGAGUGCAGAAGGGGCAACUGGAAUUCUUGGUGUAGCGGUGAAAUGCGCAGAUAUCAAGAGGAACACCUGUGGCGAAGGCGGGUUGCUGGGCUGACACUGACGCUGAAGUGCGAAAGCUAGGGGAGCGAACGGG
rnacentral:rRNA from 1 species